rnacentral:rRNA from 1 species
UACGAAGGGGGCUAGCGUUGCUCGGAAUGACUGGGCGUAAAGGGCGCGUAGGCGGUUCGUACAGUCAGACGUGAAAUUCCCGGGCUCAACCUGGGGGCUGCGUUUGAUACGUGCGGGCUUGAGUUCGGAAGAGGGUCGUGGAAUUCCCAGUGUAGAGGUGAAAUUCGUAGAUAUUGGGAAGAACACCGGUGGCGAAGGCGGCUAUCUGGGCGACAACUGACGCUGAGGCGCGAAAGCGUGGGGAUCAAACAGG